UACGUAGGGGGCAAGCGUUUGUCCGGAUUUAUUGGGCGUAAAGAGCGUGUAGGCGGCCAAGCAGGUCCGCUGUGAAAACUCGAGGCUCAACCUCGAGACGUCGGUGGAAACCGUUUGGCUAGAGUCCGGAAGAGGAGAGUGGAAUUCCCGGUGUAGCGGUGAAAUGCGCAGAUAUCGGGGAAGAACACCCGUGGCGAAGGCGGCUCUCUGGGACGGUACUGACGCUGAGACGCGAAAGCGUGGGGGAGCGAACAGG
rnacentral:rRNA from 1 species